UGGAUCCAGACUUUGAUUCUGGCUCAGGAUGAACGCUGGCGGCGUGCUUAACACAUGCAAGUCGAACGGGGUUAUCAUUCUUGAAGCGAUUAGCUUGCUAAGAGUGGAAAUGUUGAUAACUUAGUGGCGGACGGGUGAGUAACGCGUGGGUAACCUGCCUUGCACUGGGGGAUUACACUUAGAAAUAGGUGCUAAUACCGCAUAAGCGCACAGUCCCGCAUGGGACGGUGUGAAAAACUCCGGUGGUGUAAGAUGGACCCGCGUCUGAUUAGCCAGUUGGCGGGGUAACGGCCCACCAAAGCGACGAUCAGUAGCCGGCCUGAGAGGGUGGACGGCCACAUUGGGACUGAGACACGGCCCAAACUCCUACGGGAGGCAGCAGUGGGGGAUAUUGGACAAUGGGGGGAACCCUGAUCCAGCGACGCCGCGUGAGUGAAGAAGUAUUUCGGUAUGUAAAGCUCUGUCAGCAGGGAAGAAAGAAAUGACGGUACCUGACCAAGAGGCCCCGGCUAACUACGUGCCAGCAGCCGCGGUAAUACGUAGGGGGCAAGCGUUAUCCGGAAUUACUGGGUGUAAAGGGAGCGUAGACGGUAGUGCAAGUCUGGAGUGAAAGGCUGGGGCCCAACCCCGAGACUGCUCUGGAAACUGUAUAACUAGAGUGCAGGAGAGGUAAGCGGAAUUCCUAGUGUAGCGGUGAAAUGCGUAGAUAUUAGGAGGAACACCAGUGGCGAAGGCGGCUUACUGGACUGUAACUGACGUUGAGGCUCGAAAGCGUGGGGAGCAAACAGGAUUAGAUACCCUGGUAGUCCACGCCGUAAACGAUGAUUACUAGGUGUCGGUGGGUAUGGACCCAUCGGUGCCGCAGCCAACGCAGUAAGUAAUCCACCUGGGGAGUACGUUCGCAAGAAUGCAACUCAAAUGAAUUGACGGA
rnacentral:rRNA from 1 species